UCUUUUUUUUAUUGAGAUAAUAUUAUUAUAAGAUUUUGAAUAUUUUAUAAUUUUUUUCAUAAAUUAUAUUUUCUAAAAUUUUUUAUAAACCUAUUACUGUGACAAAGAAACUAAUUAUUUGUGGACCGGUUGUAGCGCCAGCUGCAGUGCCGGGUAGCUAAGUACGGAAGAGAUAACCGCUGAAAGCAUCUAAGUGGGAAACUCACCUCAAAACUAGUUCUUCCUAUAGAGCCGUCGUAGACUACGACGUUGAUAGGCUGGGUGUGGAAGCGCGGUAACGCGUGUAGCUGACCAGUACUAAUAGCUCAAUUGGCUUGAUUUA
rnacentral:rRNA from 1 species